rnacentral:rRNA from 1 species
UCCGUAGGGACCAAGCGUUGUCCGGAUUUACUGGGCGUAAAGGGCGCGUAGGCGGCUUGACAAGUCACUUGUGAAAUCUCCGGGCUUAACUCGGAACGGCCAAGUGAAACUGUCAUGCUAGAGUGCAGAAGGGGCAAUCGGAAUUCUUGGUGUAGCGGUGAAAUGCGUAGAUAUCAAGAGGAACACCUGAGGUGAAGACGGGUUGCUGGGCUGACACUGACGCUGAGGCGCGAAAGCCAGGGGAGCAAACGGG